rnacentral:rRNA from 1 species
AAAGCCUGACGGAGCAAGACCGCGUGGGGGAAGAAGGCUCUUGGGUUGUAAACCCCUUUUCUCUGGGAAGAAAGUUGUGAAAGCAACCUGACGGUACCAGAGGAAUCAGCAUCGGCUAACUCCGUGCCAGCAGCCGCGGUAAGACGGAGGAUGCAAGCGUUAUCCGGAAUGAUUGGGCGUAAAGCGUCCGCAGGUGGCAGUUCAAGUCUGCUGUCAAAGACCGGGGCUUAACUUCGGAAAGGCAGUGGAAACUGAACAGCUAGAGUAUGGUAGGGGCAGAGGGAAUUCCUGGUGUAGCGGUGAAAUGCGUAGAGAUCAGGAAGAACAUCGGUGGC